rnacentral:rRNA from 1 species
CCUCCGGUGUGCUGCAGUGGGGAAUAUUGGACAAUGGGCGAAAGCCUGAUCCAGCCAUGCCGCGUGUGUGAAGAAGGCCUUCGGGUUGUAAAGCACUUUCAGUGGGGAAGAAAGCCUUGGGGCUAAUACCCUCGAGGAAGGACAUCACCCACAGAAGAAGCACCGGCUAACUCCGUGCCAGCAGCCGCGGUAAUACGGAGGGUGCGAGCGUUAAUCGGAAUUACUGGGCGUAAAGCGCGCGUAGGCGGUCUGAUAAGCCGGUUGUGAAAGCCCCGGGCUCAACCUGGGAACGGCAUCCGGAACUGUCAGGCUAGAGUGCAGGAGAGGAAGGUAGAAUUCCCGGUGUAGCGGUGAAAUGCGUAGAGAUCGGGAGGAAUACCAGUGGCGAAGGCGGCCUUCUGGACUGACACUGACGCUGAGGUGCGAAAGCGUGGGUAGCAAACAGGAUUAGAUACCCCGUAGUC